GAUGAACGCUGGCGGCGUGCCUAAUACAUGCAAGUCGAGCGAACAGACGAGGAGCUUGCUCCUCUGACGUUAGCGGCGGACGGGUGAGUAACACGUGGAUAACCUACCUAUAAGACUGGGAUAACUUCGGGAAACCGGAGCUAAUACCGGAUAAUAUAUUGAACCGCAUGGUUCAAUAGUGAAAGACGGUUUUGCUGUCACUUAUAGAUGGAUCCGCGCCGCAUUAGCUAGUUGGUAAGGUAACGGCUUACCAAGGCAACGAUGCGUAGCCGACCUGAGAGGGUGAUAGGCCAAACUGGAACUGAGACACGGUCCAGACUCCUACGGGAGGCAGCAGUAGGGAAUCUUCCGCAAUGGGCGAAAGCCUGACGGAGCAACGCCGCGGGAGUGAUGAAGGUCUUCGGAUCGUAAAACUCUGUUAUUAGGGAAGAACAAAUGUGUAAGUAACUAUGCACGUCUUGACGGUACCUAAUCAGAAAGCCACGGCUAACUACGUG
rnacentral:rRNA from 1 species